rnacentral:tRNA from 1 species
GGUGCGUUAGUUCAGUUGGUUAGAAUACAUGCCUGUCACGCAUGGGGUCGCGUGUUCGAGUCACGUACGCACCG